GACGAACGCUGGCGGCGUGCUUAACACAUGCAAGUCGAACGGAAAGGCCCUGCUUUUGUGGGGUGCUCGAGUGGCGAACGGGUGAGUAACACGUGAGUAACCUGCCCUUGACUUUGGGAUAACUUCAGGAAACUGGGGCUAAUACCGGAUAGGAGAUCCUGCUGCAUGGUGGGGGUUGGAAAGUUUCGGCGGUCGGGGAUGGAUUCGCGGCUUAUCAGCUUGUUGGUGGGGGAGUGGCUUACCAAGGCUUUGACGGAUAGCCGGCCUGAGAGGGUGACCGGCCACAAGGGGACUGAGAUACGGACCAGACUCGUACGGGAGGCAACAGUGGGGAACAUUGCACAAUGGGCGGAAGCCUGAUGCAGCAACGCCGCGGUCGGGAUGACGGCCUUCGGGUUGUAAAACGCUUUCGCCUGUGACGAAGCGUUAGUGACGGUAAUGGGUAAAGAAGCACCGGCUAACUACGUG
rnacentral:rRNA from 1 species